AUUGGCGCGGCCGGACACGGUGCGCCGGAACCCGGCGCGUUCCCGUUGUGACUUUACCGGAGCUGGGGGAGGUCGACGGCCGCAGGGCUGGGCGUCCCCCUUCCUCUGGAUACUACCCGCUGCUGUCUGCGACUGAGGAUCCUUGGGUCCCCAGAAGUUUCCAAAUAUAGCGUUCAUCUCUGACAAAAUGCGUGCAUUUUCCUUUGGGAGAGCGGUAGCCCGGGUACCGGGGUCCCAGCUUCCUUCGUUCACCAGACGCGAAGUACGCGCUCGAGCACGCUCAGCCCCGGCCCCGCGGGAGCGCGCAAGCCGGACCCCAGAUAAAUGCAAGGGUGACCCCAGGGAAGGUGCACGGAGCUCUUUCUCCGUGCUCGGCUCACCCUUCUGUGGAUUAAGGGGAGAGUAAGCGGCUGGCGCAAGAACAACACCCGCGAAUUGCAGGGACAGAAUUUAGAUUCGAACCCAGGAGGAGGUCUGACUCCAAAUCCCAUUAUGACAUUUUGUGGUGAUGACGCACAAGGUGUUAGGCCUGCAGAGGACAAGGACAGAGUGAGGGGUGGAGGGUUUGGUUCGGCUGACCAGCGAAGUUUUCCUAUAGAAGGUAACAAAACUAGCUUUGUUCUGAGCGCUGUGAGGCUUCUUGUCUCGCUGAAGUCUCGUAACGAGCCUAUCACCGGACAUCAUACAACUAAUUCGCAGAUGAGGAAAGGGACGCACAGAGAGAUUAAUUUGUCCAGGGUCUUAAAGCCCGCAAGUGCCGGAGCUGGGACCCUGACUCUCAGUAGUCUGGAUGUAGACCGUAGGGGCAGCAACUCCCAUGGGCUCGUUUUCAAACCACUUCUGAACUCUUGGAAGAAGUUAAGAGGCGCUCAGGUCAUAUGGAGGCAGGAAUCCAAGCAGCUGGAGCUCUAACAGCGAACGGGGUAGAAAAGAAAAACAAGUUGUUUGAAGGGGCAUCUUUAGUUGCCGAGUUGAAAGUGGAAAGCCUAGGGUUUGGGGGAUUAAUGUCGAAGUGGCAAACUGAGGCAAGUGGUUCCAACAGCUCUCUACCCAACAUGCUUCUGAAGAUUGGGCAUUUCGCCCAUCCCCCCAAAGGAAAGCUGGCCGAUAGCCAUCUAUGUCACCAGCUGUCCUUUCAGUGAUGAUGAUAAAAUGCACUUUCUUCCAGAAAUCUAAAUUUCUUUCCCUCAAUUUGGUUUCCUGUGUCAAAGAUGAAGCCAGACACAUGAAGGAUAGACUUCCUUCAGUAACUAUUGCAACAGAGAAGAGGGUCCAGGAUGAACCAAAGUCAACUUGGAUUUAUGGAGUGGGAACUGGGCACCUUAGGGGGAGAGUGGGGGAGUGGGAUCAGUUGAGCAGAAUCGGGGAAGUGGAAAUUUACAAAAACCAGGGCAUUAGUGGGUCUGACUUGACUUACCUGAAAGAGAAGCUUCUGUCUGUAUGACCAGAGAGAGUGGUGCACGUUAGAGCAAGGUAGCCACUGGGUGGGAAGGGUUCCCUCCUUGAGUGUUGGCGUUUCAAAGAGACAAGGCAGUGCUGGCUGGUGAAAGAUUUGUAUCUCAAAGCAGGAGAGAAAAGAUUUCUAAUUCCACGUUUUCUAACUGCUCUCAGAGGGGAUUCAGGGAGCUGAUCUGCCAAUCUCCAGGUUUGGGCUGGAACCAGCAGUGAAUUUUCCCAGCAGCCUGUUGACUUUUCUCAGGCAAUAACUCUAAAUGGAGCUGGGGUCCUCUUAGGGGUGAGGCCUUGAGCUGUUAGAAGCUGUGCUAGUGUUUGUUCAAGUCUCUUAGGGUGAAGAGGGGGACGAAAUCACUUGUGCCAAGUCUCUACAGUAUUUACAGGCCAAGGCCGAGACCUGCUUGAUGGCUCGGAAGAGACUGACCAGAGGUUAGUGAAGGAGAUGGUCUUUGUCACCUGGUAGAAACCUUGGGUCUCUGUCUGGAUCCCGACCCAAGGCCAGGAUUUGGUAGCCGGGGCUGCUUCUCUGGGCACACCGGGAUGAACGUUCUGUGUGCAAUAGCGUUUCUGGAUUAAUGAUUUGAGGAAGGAGGCCACUCUGGUCACAUCCUUCUUCACCGUCUGUGCUGACUGUGCGUGUGCCGCUGGUGUUCGUGUGUGAUCAUUGGCUCACGGUGUCGCCUUUCCUGCUCAACUGCCACCUCUGUGACACAGGGCUCGUAUCGCCUUUGCCUACCUUGGUGUAGCGAACGUCACCACAGAGCCGGACCCAUCGAAGGCACCCAGUGGAUGCUCAGUGAAUAAGUUAAUGUGCCAGGCACAGGCGGGGCGUCGGAAGGGCAGAGAUGGUGAGGGUGAGGUUUCUGCCUGUGGAAGCUCGGUGUGGCAGGAGCCCUUCAGACAAACAGCCACGAGAAGCCCAAAGGCUGGUGAGCGGUGAGAUGUUGCAGACCUCCCUGCCUGAGGGAGGGGCCCGAGUGGAGCUCCAGGUCUUUGUCUGAUGCUUUCCCAACAUUUCGCUCGGUGAGAAUGAACUGACAACUCACUGUGAGAGAGGGCAGCUAGGCUGGUUUUAAUCUUACCCAAGAUGUCGCCACAGGCCCCCUGACCCUUACAGAGACAAGAUCUGCUCCUCUGGUGGGAGGUUUAUGCGCAUUCAUUUUGAGAGAGAGAGAGGUGGGGGGAGCAGCAGAGAGAGAGGGAGACACAGAAUCCGAAGCAGGCUCCGGGAUCGGAGCUGUCGGCACAGAGCCCGAUGCGGGGUUCGAACUCACGGAGCCGUGAGCUCAUGACCUGAGCCGAAGUCGGACCGACUGAGGCCCCCAGGCGCCCCUCUGCCAACUUUUCUCGGCAUCUUCAUCCAAUAAAGGGAACUGUGAUUUUUUCCAGCUUAUAUAGUCCCCCUACUGCACCUUCUAGAGAGAAUUCAGUUUUCUUUUGCAAAGCCAAAUUGAAGAAUGGAGAGAAGAUAGAGACAGGUAAUGAGGAACCAGAAGAGCUACGUGUACAAAGUGAAGGGCUGGUGGAGGGGUGUGGAAGUCACAGAGAUGAAUGAUGGGGGCAAUUGGGUAUCGGGGAGGGUGCUGAGCAAACCCAGGGCAGCAGACAACCAGCAAGGGGAAGGGGAGCCCUCUUCCAGGCAGAGAAGUCAGUCCCCUGCAGGGUUCUUUCUAGGGUGCUAUCAAGAUUGGAAUUAUUACUGAGGUGCCUGGGUGGCUCAGUCAGCUGAGUGCCUCACGUCGGCUGAGGUCACGAUCUCACGCUUCACGGGUUCGGGCCCCGCGUUGGGCUCUGUGCUGAUGGCUCGGA